CUGCUCUUGCGUUAUUGGAAGACAUUGAAAACCGUGCUUAAUAGCCCCUAAUCCGGAAAGGAAGACACGCUGUAAUCAUGCCAUUCCCGUAUCUGUCCAAUCCACUCUGGGAUUCCUCACUACUGGGACAUUCCAGAGGGAAAUGAGUGACAGGUCGGGUAUAUCACAGCCAUCAUUCAGCCGCAUCCUGCCACAAGUGAUCGAGGCGAUUCUACACGUAUUGUCCACGAGACACAUUACUUUCCCAUUUAAAGCCGACGAACAGGUGCGCGUCAAAGCCCGAGUUUGUCCGCUCAUUUAAUUUCCCAGGUGUCAUAGGUGCAGUUGACUGCACGCAUAUUGCCUUACGCGCACCGUCUGUAGAUGGAUAUGUAUAUGAUAACAGGAAGAAUUUCCAUUCAUUGAAUGUUCAGAUCAUCUGCGAUGCCCGAAUGCAACUACUAAAUGUAUGCUCCAAGUGGUCAGGGUCUACGCACGACUCAUUCAUUCUGCGCCACAGCAGAGUAAGCCUGCAUCUAGAAGCUGGUGAGAGUGGAGGCGGGUGGCUUCCUCCUGAGUUCUUUUUUUUCCAGUGUAGCCUAUUAAUCGUGCAAAAUAAUGUAACACAACGGUUUUACCCUAUUAGGCAACAGGGGCUAUACACUGAGUGGCUUCUCACUCCCUUUUGUCGAUCCCCCCCUAACAGCUGAGGAAAUGCGCUACAAUUUUGCGCAUGACAGAACAAGGUUAGUUGUGGAGCGCACCAUCGGACUGCUGAAGAGCAGGAGGCAUUACCUUGUUGCAUCAGGUGGAAAACUCCUCUACAAGCCAGAGAAGCCCUGAUGCAUGGUAUUGAAAUGGAUGUGGAGAUUAGAAUGGACCCUGAACAGCCUCCUAACCCACCACCCAACAGAGCACCUGCCCCGGCUGAUACAGUGAGGAGGCGGCGGCAGCUCAUAGAGAGAUUUGUGAACUGAGGUGGUCAACAUGCGAACUGCAGAUGUGGAUGGACCCUUGACACCUGUGGCCAAACCUUCCCCUCACUCCUGGCAAUUGCUGAUUUGGGAGCCUCGCACACUUUAUCCUUGGGUGGAGGGUGCACGGGCUGCAACACAGCUUCCCUUGGUGGAGGGGGCACACUCACCCGGUGCAUGGGCUGCAAUGCCGCUUCCCCCGUUUCUAUGUGAAUAAAAUAAAUAAUGUCUUGUAUAUUAAUUUACUGACAACCAAGUUUCACAUUCUCUUAAUUACUUACCGUGAUCCAGUGAUGUAGUCAUGUGGGUUUCACACGCCAACUUCACCGUUUCCGAUGUUACUGCUAAACCAUGUAAAACUUGGAAUUUAACCAUAUGAAAAAUAUGUGCGAGUGUAUGCACUUUCCCCAAUGAUUGCCCCGAUGCGCUGGUCCAUUAGGGAGAGCUCCGGCAUGCCAGGCCCCCCUCCCAUUGCCUUAAUGCUGUGGUUAUGUAUGGCUAUUCUUUUUAUCCCUUGCAGUUUGUCAGACCAUUUCUUUUUCACAUCAGCCACAGUUCUGUCUUGCUGCCCCACCUCGUUCACUGCAGCAGCGACACACUCACAAGCUACCUGUUUGGCUUUGUUUGUCAACCCGCUAUUUACUCCACCAAAUAAUACGUGUUGCCUGUUUUCAAUCUCCUCUACCAUCACCGUGAUCUCACCUUCCAAAAAGAUUGCUUUUCUCUUUUGGUCCAUGGCGAAUCCUGACAAAACCCUAAUUUGUGCUAGCAUUCUAUAAGGGGAAAUAUCUGAUUGUAAGGCACGUUCAGGUGCCAUCAAUUUUAAGUUAAUUUGAGAUUUAUAGAUCACAGGUGCGAAAGUUACAAAUGGGCUUCUUAGAACCUGCCUAAGCAAGGCUUUUUUAUGCUCAGUAUCUUUUAUGAAUCGAUCGUAAGCACAACGUCGGAAAUUAUCUUACGUCUAAGUUAAAGUAUAAAUCUAAGAACAUUUGUAUAAAUGAGGCCCCUGGUGUGUGUGUGUGUGUGUGCCUACAUGAAAAAAUACUAUUGUAUACUAUGGUAUAGAGACUGUAGUAUUUACUGAAGUGUUUUGGACAUGACUGUAGUAUACUGUAGUUUUGACAGUUUACUAUUGUCACGGUUGUCGUAAGGAGAGGACCAAAAUGCAGCAGGGAAGUGUAUACUCAUCUUUAUUACGGACAAAGAAGGAAAAACCAAAAUAAACACGUAUACAAAAACGAACUAGACAGUCUUGUCAGGCACACACAGCAAAACAAUAAACAAUCUCCCACAAACACUAAACCAAACACAUACCCAUAUAUAGGACUCUCAAUCAGAGGCAACUAGAAAACACCUGCCUCCAAUUGAGAGUCCAACCCCAAUUAACUAGACAUAGCUAUACAACUAACCAGAAAGAACAUAGAAAUACUAACACAGAACAUAACCCCAAAACCUGGAACUAACUAACCAAACACCCUGCUAAAUAAACCACCACCCCGAACCACAUAAACAAAAUACCCUCUGCCACGUCCUGACCAAACUACAA